CAUGGGCCAGUGGCUGAGUCCCGGCUCCACGAGGAGAUGUUGGGAGAAGGCAGCACACAUUGAGGAGAAGCAAGGAGCACCACUCCUGAUGGUCCCCUCCAGAGCCCCAGGAAACUCUUGUUAGCAAUCUUAGAUUAAAUUCAGAGUUUCUGGAUCACGACAGGAAGCUGUGUCCAGCACGAAGGUGUCCUGUGAACAGGCUCAAUCACAAGCUCUGCAGAGACGGGAAGUGACAGAGGCCCCAGAAAGCCAGUUCCCGACAACGCCAAUACUGCACGUUUAUCAGCUGCGGCAAGAGCCGGCCAGAGGCGGUGGCAGCACCUCAAUGCCCUUGCCUCGUCUUCAAGAUUCUUCUGUUUGAUGUUGCGUCCUCACUGUUCCUCUGCUGAGGAGCUGUAGUGUGGCUCACAACUACGCGAUGACUCUCCAGAUUCAAAGACCACAUCUCACCCUCUCUAAAGCCCCAGGGGCCCAGCGCAGUGCCGAGUGCAGAAGGAUUGAUGAGCAUUUGCUGAGCCGGGUGCUAAUCCCAUGGGCAUUGUUUCCUCUGCCCUCAGUCUCCAGCCUGCAGACGCCUGAAUGGAUUCUGGAGAGGUGUGCGUUGGACUCUGAAGGUCCUCUGAGCCCAUCCAGGAUAAAGAUGCUCUCUCCCAGGCGUCUGCUCAGCCGCCGGCUAUCGGCAGGACAUUGCGCACCAGGUAUCUUCAAGCUGCUUCUGGCUGGAUUUAGGGCAUGAUGGAAACAUCAAAACAACUGUAGUUCUGCCACGGGGUCCCACAUCUGCUUAUCCUGGGACAGCCACGCAGUCCCCACCCAGGAAGCGGCAGCAGGUUUCAGCACCCUGGAGAGGGCCAGGCCCCUGUGGCUGGUCAAGCUCCUCAGUGUUAAGGGAGCAGCUCAGGAAGGCCCCGCCCAGGACGAUGAGGGGACCAGGAAUGAAGUCAGCAGGUGAGCGGGAGGAACUUGACUCAGAGCAGUGGGAGGGCAGGAAGCGUGCUGGGGAGGAACCCUUGAGGGGCCACCACCUGGGGAAGCGCCUGCUGUCCCAGGGACAAGGGAAGGCUCCUCCUUGAUUCCCAGAAGGACAGAGUGGCUGCAGUCAAAUCCAUCCACAGGGCAGAUUUUCCCCACGGCCCUGUCCCCUGACCCUAGUGGCCCUCCCACAGACAUGCCCUGGCAGGGCCCAGGACACUGGCCCUCGAUGGGCCCUGAGCCAGUGCCACCUGUGUGUGCACUGAUGAAGGUCACGCACUUUAUUGGAGGAAGGAGGAGCAGAAAGAGGAGAAGGAAACGUUAACUCCUAAAUCACAAGGCAGAAAGGAUUCCUGAAACAAAUCAGCCAAAUCUGCCUCCUAGGUGGUUCCAGACCUGCCCCCUCCCCUCCCCGUUUCUUAGGGCGCGGCAGUAACAUUUACCCGGCUCCACUGCACAUCCUCCUGACCCUGGCCCUGCGCUCUUGGCCUCUGCACAUCUCAUGGCUGGCACCUCCGUGCGCGCUCUCAUUUCAUGUUUCACCUUCAAAUUGUCCUCUGUGAACACGUGUAUGCAUGCACAUUUAUUGAUCUAUUUGUUUAUAUUUGUUUGAUGAUUCAGUUGCAGUCUCUUUUCAUUAGAAAGCUAGGCUUGUUCCAAGCAUAAUAUGUGCUUGACUUCUUUUGAAAAUGAAAGCACCUGAAACCUCCCACAGCU
rnacentral:lncRNA from 1 species